UGGGGAAUAUUGCACAAUGGGCGCAAGCCUGAUGCAGCGACGCCGCGUGGGGGAUGACGGCCUUGGUUGUAACCUCUUUCGCCAGGGACGAAGCGCAAGUGACGGUACCUGGAGAAGAAGCACCGGCCAACUA
rnacentral:rRNA from 1 species